rnacentral:rRNA from 1 species
UACGUAGGGUCCGAGCGUUGUCCGGAAUUACUGGGCGUAAAGAGCUCGUAGGUGGUUUGUCGCGUUGUUCGUGAAAACUCACAGCUCAACUGUGGGCGUGCGGGCGAUACGGGCAGACUGGAGUACUGCAGGGGAGACUGGAAUUCCUGGUGUAGCGGUGGAAUGCGCAGAUAUCAGGAGGAACACCGGUGGCGAAGGCGGGUCUCUGGGCAGUAACUGACGCUGAGGCGCGAAAGCUAGGGGAGCGAACAGG